UACGUAGGGUGCAAGCGUUGUCCGGAAUUAUUGGGCGUAAAGAGCUCGUAGGCGGUCUGUCGCGUCUGGUGUGAAAAUCCAGGGCUUAACCCUGGACCUGCAUCGGGUACGGGCAGACUAGAGUGCGGUAGGGGAGAUCGGAAUUCCUGGUGUAGCGGUGAAAUGCGCAGAUAUCAGGAGGAACACCGGUGGCGAAGGCGGAUCUCUGGGCCGUAACUGACGCUGACGGAGCGAAAGCAUGGGGAGCGAACAGGA
rnacentral:rRNA from 1 species